AAGAGUGUGGUGGAAGGAUCAGGGUGCAUACAGAGCCUGCAUGCUUUGCUCCCACUCUCCUGCACAGAAGAGCCCCAGCCCUAGCCAGCACGCACCGCUUCUGGGCAGGGGCCACUGCUGCAGCCACCAGGGGAUUUGCUCAUCUACCCUGGCCUCCUGUGACUCCUGUGUCCUUGCUGCAGUGCUCGCUCCAGGCACCAGAUGGCAACCCCCCC